rnacentral:snRNA from 1 species
AGCUUUGCACAGUGGCAGUAUCGUAGCCAAUGAGGUUUAUCCGAGGCACAAUUAUUGCUAAUCGAAAACUUUCCCAAUACCCCGUCGUGACAACUUGCAACACAGUCAGCACUGGCAAUUUUUGACAGUCUCUACGGAGA